UUAGAAUACAAACCGUGCUUUGGAAGCUUGGCCACUCUAUAUACUUCAGCUGUCCGGGCUGCUCAAGCAGAAAUACAAGCAAAGAUCUCAAGGCCCUGUGAAGAAGACAAGCAAACAGUCACCUAAUCUUUGAUGGUAGCUAUCAGCCCAAGCCCGGAGCCCAUCACUCACCCCCGCAGUUCACUUUGUCCUAAUAGAUCGACCCGACAUGGAGGAGUAUAUAUGUUUUGUUGUCUUGUUAUGUAAGCAAGUGAGAAACAAGAGAAAAGAGGUUUUUCGUGUUUUCUAGGCGAGAGUUCUUGCUGCGAGUUUGGGUGUUCUUGAGAGUACGAUCAGGGAGACACUCCUGAUCUCAUUACCUACGUUGAAACACAGGCAUCGAUUCACCGGAAUACAUGGCAGGGAAUGACUAGAUGCAGAUCGCACAAUACCUGCUAUAGGGAAAAGACCUAUCAUCUUACACUCUAUUCCCUUCGACACAGUCGAUCCGUUGAUACAGACACACAGUAGAAGGAAACACGAGAGACUGUCUUGCCGAUUUGUAAUGGAAACAGACGGAACAGAUCUCCAUUGUAAUCUUUCUUCUAUCAUAUAGUGAAUUAUCUUCUCCUUCACCCGUGGACAUUACACAUCACGUACAUUAGUGUGUGAACCACAUUAAAUCUCUA